rnacentral:rRNA from 1 species
AUACGGAGGGUGCAAGCGUUACUCGGAAUCACUGGGCGUAAAGCGCGCGCAGGCGGCUAUUUAAGUUGGAUGUGAAAGCCUACGGCUCAACCGUAGAACUGCAUCCAAAACUAUUAGACUAGAGUGUGGGAGAGGAAGAUGGAAUUAGUUGUGUAGGGGUAAAAUCCGUAGAGAUAACUAGGAAUACCAAAAGCGAAGGCAAUCUUCUGGAACACUACUGACGCUGAGGCGCGAAAGCGUGGGGAGCAAACAGGAUUAGAUACCCUAGUAGUCC